CCCUUAGAUGUUCUGGGCCGCACGCGCACUACACUGAUGCAUUCAACGAGUCUAAAACCUGCUCUGAUAGGGGUGGGUAAUCUUUUGAAUGUGCAUCGUGAUUGGGAUAGAUGAUUGCAAUUUUUCAUCUUCAACGAGGAAUGCCUAGUAAACGCAAGUCAUCAGCUUGCAUUGAUUACGUCCCUGCCCUUUGUACACACCGCCCGUCGCUCCUACCGAUUGAAUGAUCCGAUGAAUAUCAUGGAUUGAGGAUUAUAGCAGGUUCGCCUGUCUUGAUCUUCGAGAAGUGAAGUAAAUCUUAUCAUUUAGAGGAAGGAGAAGUCGUAACA
rnacentral:rRNA from 1 species